rnacentral:lncRNA from 1 species
UUAACAGCCACAGAUGCAGCUGGAUCAUAUGAUGCAAAAGAUGUCCACGCUCGUGGUGCUUGGCUUUGUUGGGCUCCUUUGUGGCUCCACCACCUCUUACUGUGAGCUCAUGGUGGGAGCUAAUGAAGUCUUCCAAACUGACUGCCGAAAAACCUGUGGGAUGUUGCAGUACAAUGUGCACGAGGCUGUUUGCUGUGAUCCAAACCAUCCUCCGGAGGCAGGGAAGGCCUGUUGUGGGAAUAAGGCAUACAAUCCUGCAGAAGCCACUUGCUGCUUUAACGGCACAGCUCAUGUCACGUUGGGCUUGAGUGAGGAGGUGUCCUCUUGCUGUGGACUGACAGCAUACAACCCACUAAAUCAAAUAUGCUGUGCUUCAAAAAUCGUCGAUAAACCUUCACCCCUGGCUGCCUGCUGUGAUGAAGUGCCGUACAAUGUGGAGAAACAGCUGUGUUGUGGUAAGGAAAAGAAGAUCAUGCCGAGGGAGUCCAAAUCCUUCCUGUGUUGUGGAAAUCAGACGUACAACAGCAGCAGUCACUGCUGUUCUUACAAGGAAAGCAACACUUUGGAAAUCUUAUCCAAAGAUUCAAAACAGUGUGAAACCGAUAAAACUGGUUUGCCUCAAGCCCAGGUGGCGGGUACAGAAACAAAGACCAAAAUGGAAGAACAACAUGAAUGCAUCAAUCUAACCAGAAACCUCAGAGAAAGGCUUCGCUUGUGUUACUCCCCAGAUAAAUGUGACGCUACCGUGACGCCGUACGACCCACAAACACACAUCUGCUGUGGUGGCCACGUGUCUGAGCGUGAUCCCCAGGAAGAUCAAUGCUGUGGGACCAUACCAUAUAGCUCUGGACGGCGUGGAGUCCUCUGCUGCAAUAACACCUUGUACGAGGGCAGAGAAGAUGCUGAAGAGUGCUCAGAACUCGGGAUUCCCUUUAACACAGCAAAAGAGACUGUAUGCUGUGCGGAUUAUCAUGUGGAACCUAGAAAACGAUGCUGUGGGUCACACACGUACGAGCCUGAUAGACAGAUCUGCUGCAAGGGUCAUGUGCAUGAGAGGAAAAGCAAAGUUUCAAAAUAUUUCUGCUGUGGCACUGAGACAUACGACAUCGAAAAGGAAAUGUGCUGUGGUGGGACUCGGCUCAACCAAAAGAAUCAGGUCUGCUGCUCGGGUGCGGAGAAAGAGCUGGUCUAUACCGUCAAAGAAGGCUUCAGCUGCUGCGGUCACCACUACUACAACAAGGCCCUGUGGUCUUGCUGUGCAGACAGGUUGAAGCCAUUUCCAGAAACCAAAACACACAAUGGAUCCAGACUCAUGCCAAUGGCCAAUAUGAUGAACGAGAAGCUCUGCAACAACAGUGAGAUAUCAGUUUAUCUUGGAACUCUGGAAAGCGUGACUCAGUCUCACAUCGUCUUCAACAAUGUGCUGAAAAUCCAUCUAAGAAACUCCACUAUGGAAGCUAUGCCUAAGUACAGCCUGGCCAGAGAUUACUGCAGCUUCCCUAAACUGAUCCAUGGAAAAUCCUACUUCUUUGACGGAGUCCAACUGUUUGUUGACCUCAACCGUGACUUUUCUCUGCAGUCACUCUCUUUCCUGCUUAGUAAGUGUUCUGUUUAGGCAGCCACUGUUGACCUGUUCCUUCUGGCAUACAGUAAGUGGAUAGGCUCUGAUGACAGAUGAAUCUGCAUACUUGCAUGAUUCACCUUCACAAACAAAGUAUACAACACGUUAUAUAACUACAUGUAACACAUAUUUCAAGAAGCAGAAGAUAAAACUGGUUAAUAGAUGGAUAGAGGAUGUAAUAAGAAGAUGUGUCAUGUUACCUUCUAAUCCUUGGUAAAUAUACCUUAACUAACCAACUAAUUAACAUCGUGAUGCCACAAUAUAGCUGUAACGUGGCGUAACAUGGAUUACUCAGUUAAACUCUUACAGUACUGUCGCUUUGUGCUUUUUACUACAGACAGGCUUUACACACUCACACAACUAUAAUGUGAUUAAACACAGUGGUCACCACUCUAAUGUUGUUUACAAGGUGUCAGGUGAUGUGUUCAUUGGUGCUACCUUGCUCUAAUGUGAUACAAACGAUUAAUACACAUCUAGCGUUAGUGACCUAAAGUCUGAUUAAAGCUACAGCAAAAAAAACAGUGCAACAAACAAGGAUAGCAAGAAGCAUCUGCGAAUGUAAGCAGUUAUUCACAUAAGCUAUUUUUUUUUUUACAAAUUUUAAAUUAUUAUCAUUCUUACACUGAAAUAUAACUGUUUGCACACUGUCCUUCCCUCAAGGAAAUGUUUACAUGUGAAUGACAUAAUUCCUCAUAUCUUCAGUGAUGAUGCUAUUAAAUGAUAAGAAAUUUAUCCACAGUCUCAGAAAUUAAUAUACUUUAAUGACCCGCCAUAGCCAAUAUAAUUGUUCUUCAUGUGAAUGUGACUGUACUGUAAUACACAGUUGUGUUUUGUGUAAAUGUCUUAUUUUGAACUUGAGCUACAAUUGACAACUACGCUAGUUGAACAAUGUAUAUUGCAUGUUUUUGGGAUAUCUUCCUUUUAUUCAGGAUUAAAGUUUUUCAUAAAUAAAAAAAAACAUUUAUUACUAAA